rnacentral:rRNA from 1 species
UAGGGAAUCUUCGGCAAUGGGGGCAACCCUGACCGAGCAACGCCGCGUGAGUGAAGAAGGUUUUCGGAUCGUAAAGCUCUGUUGUAAGAGAAGAACGUGUGUGAGAGUGGAAAGUUCACACAGUGACGGUAACUUACCAGAAAGGGACGGCUAACUACGUGCCAGCAGCCGCGGUAAUACGUAGGUCCCGAGCGUUGUCCGGAUUUAUUGGGCGUAAAGCGAGCGCAGGCGGUUUAAUAAGUCUGAAGUUAAAGGCAGUGGCUUAACCAUUGUUCGCUUUGGAAACUGUUAAACUUGAGUGCAGAAGGGGAGAGUGGAAUUCCAUGUGUAGCGGUGAAAUGCGUAGAUAUAUGGAGGAACACCGGAGGCGAAAGCGGCUCUCUGGUCUGUAACUGACGCUGAGGCUCGAAAGCGUGGGGAGCAAACAGG